UAUGUGAUCGUCUCUCGCAUAUCAAUAAGCGGAGGAAAAGAAACUAACAAGGAUUCCCCUAGUAACGGCGAGUGAAGCGGGAAGAGCUCAAAUUUGAAAUCUUAAAGGGUUUCCCUUUACGAAUUGUAGUUUAAAGAAGUGUUUUCUGUUGAGGUUUUGGUAAAAGUUCUUUGGAAUAGGACAUCAUAGAGGGUGAGAAUCCCGUAUUUGACCUUUACUUUCAACUUUGUGAUACACUUUCAAGGAGUCGGAUUGUUUGGGAAUGCAGUCCAAAAUGGGUGGUAAAUUUCAUCUAAAGCUAAAUAUUGGCGAGAGACCGAUAGCGAACAAGUACCGUGAGGGAAAGAUGAAAAGAACUUUGAAAAGAGAGUUAAACAGUACGUGAAAUUGUCAAAAGGGAAGCGUUUGACACCAGUGUUGUUUUUCUGAAAAUCAAUUAAAGAACUGUUUAUGCUAAGUUGUUUAGACUUUAUCAGCUAACUGUUUAGUUUUGAGCUUUUCUUUAAUGCACUUUUCAGUUAACAAGGUCAACAUCAAUUUCUUUUGCUGUAAAAAAGCUUGAGGAAGGUGGCUUGAGAUUCGUCUUAAGUGUUUAUAGCCUCUUGCCUAUGCAGUCGGAGAGAUUGAGGUCUGCAGCGUAGAUCCUUCGGGGCUAAAUGCAUUUGUGCUAAGUUAUAGCAUUUUAUAGACAACUUGUUGACUAUGAUUUGUCUUGUAGCUUACUCGCUUAUGUUAUUUUACCUACGCUUAGGAUGUUGACACACGCGCGUGCUCG
rnacentral:rRNA from 1 species